AGGGUUUGAUCCUGGCUCAGAUUGAACGCUGGCGGCAUGCUUUACACAUGCAAGUCGAACGGCAGCGCGGGCUUCGGCCUGGCGGCGAGUGGCGAACGGGUGAGUAAUAUAUCGGAACGUACCCAAGAGUGGGGGAUAACGUAGCGAAAGUUACGCUAAUACCGCAUACGAUCUAAGGAUGAAAGCAGGGGACCGCAAGGCCUUGUGCUCCUGGAGCGGCCGAUAUCUGAUUAGCUAGUUGGUGAGGUAAAGGCUCACCAAGGCAACGAUCAGUAGCUGGUCUGAGAGGACGACCAGCCACACUGGAACUGAGACACGGUCCAGACUCCUACGGGAGGCAGCAGUGGGGAAUUUUGGACAAUGGGGGCAACCCUGAUCCAGCAAUGCCGCGUGAGUGAAGAAGGCCUUCGGGUUGUAAAGCUCUUUUGUCAGGGAAGAAAAGGUCGUGGCUAAUAUCCACGACUGCUGACGGUACCUGAAGAAUAAGCACCGGCUAACUACGUGCCAGCAGCCGCGGUAAUACGUAGGGUGCAAGCGUUAAUCGGAAUUACUGGGCGUAAAGCGUGCGCAGGCGGUUUCGUAAGUCUGUCGUGAAAUCCCCGGGCUUAACCUGGGAAUGGCGAUGGAGACUGCGAGGCUAGAGUUUGGCAGAGGGGGGUAGAAUUCCACGUGUAGCAGUGAAAUGCGUAGAGAUGUGGAGGAACACCGAUGGCGAAGGCAGCCCCCUGGGUCAAAACUGACGCUCAUGCACGAAAGCGUGGGGAGCAAACAGGAUUAGAUACCCUGGUAGUCCACGCCCUAUACGAUGUCUACUAGUUGUUGGGUCUUAAUUGACUUAGUAACGCAGCUAACGCGUGAAGUAG
rnacentral:rRNA from 1 species